UCUAGAGUGAGGGAGAGGCAGAUGGAAUUGGUGGUGUAGGGGUAAAAUCCGUAGAUAUCACCAAGAAUACCCAUUGCGAAGGCGAUCUGCUGGAACUCAACUGACGCUAAGGCGCGAAAGCGUGGGGAGCAAACAGGAUUAGAUACCCUGGUAGUCCACGCCCUAAACGAUGUACACUAGUUGUUGGGGUGCUAGUCAUCUCAGUAAUGCAGCUAACGCAUUAAGUGUACCGCCUGGGGAGUACGGUCGCAAGAUUAAAACUCAAAGGAAUAGACGGGGACCCGCACAAGCGGUGGAGCAUGUGGUUUAAUUCGAAGAUACGCGAAGAACCUUACCUGGGCUUGAUAUCCUAAGAACCUUAUAGAGAUAUGAGGGUGCUAGCUUGCUAGAACUUAGAGACAGGUGCUGCACGGCUGUCGUCAGCUCGUGUCGUGAGAUGUUGGGUUAAGUCCCGCAACGAGCGCAACCCACGUAUUUAGUUGCUAACGGUUCGGCCGAGCACUCUAAAUAGACUGCCUUCGUAAGGAGGAGGAAGGUGUGGACGACGUCAAGUCAUCAUGGCCCUUAUGCCCAGGGCGACACACGUGCUACAAUGGCAUAUACAAUGAGACGCAAUACCGCGAGGUGGAGCAAAUCUAUAAAAUAUGUCCCAGUUCGGAUUGUUCUCUGCAACUCGAGAGCAUGAAGCCGGAAUCGCUAGUAAUCGU
rnacentral:rRNA from 1 species